rnacentral:rRNA from 1 species
CCUACGGGAGGCAGCAGUGAGGAAUAUUGGUCAAUGGAGGCAACUCUGAACCAGCCAUGCCGCGUGUAGGAUGACUGCCCUAUGGGUUGUAAACUACUUUUAUACAGGAAGAAACAGUCUCACGUGUGAGACCUUGACGGUACUGUAAGAAUAAGCACCGGCUAACUCCGUGCCAGCAGCCGCGGUAAUACGGAGGAUCCAAGCGUUAUCCGGAAUCAUUGGGUUUAAAGGGUCCGUAGGCGGCUUUAUAAGUCAGUGGUGAAAGUCUGCAGCUUAACUGUAGAAUUGCCAUUGAUACUGUAGAGCUUGAAUCAUUGUGAAGUGGUUAGAAUAUGUAGUGUAGCGGUGAAAUGCAUAGAUAUUACAUAGAAUACCGAUUGCGAAGGCAGAUCACUAACAAUGUAUUGACGCUGAUGGACGAAAGCGUGGGUAGCGAACAGGAUUAGAUACCCUGGUAGUCCACGCCGUAAACGAUGGUCACUAGCUGUUUGGAAUUCGUUCUGAGUGGCUAAGCGAAAGUGAUAAGUGACCCACCUGGGGAGUACGUUCGCAAGAAUGAAACUCAAAGGAAUUGACGG